rnacentral:rRNA from 1 species
GUCCACGCCGUAAACGAUGGGUGCUAGGUGUGGGAGGUGUCGACUCCUUCCGUGCCGUAGCUAACGCAUUAAGCACCCCGCCUGGGGAGUACGGCCGCAAGGCUAAACUCAAGGAAUUGACGGGGCCCCGCACAAGCAGCGGAGCAUGUGGUUUAAUUCGAUGCAACGCGAAGAACCUUACCAGGGCUUGACAUGCACUGGAAAACCGUAGAAAUACGGUCCUCCUUCGGGACCAGUACACAGGUGGUGCAUGGCUGUCGU